CUCUCACGCCCUUCAUCUUCAUCCUCUCUUUCACUCCAUCUCUCACAAAAACAAAACUCUCAUCUCUCUAUCACCCCUCUCUUUCCACCUGAUCGUUGAAAACCCAGAACCAUACAUAACCCCUCUUUUUCUUCUUCUUCAUCCAAACCCCUAAUCAGAAAAAUCAAACCCUCAUCUAGAGGGCUUCACAGAUCCAAACGGUUCAUUCAUAGAAAUCCCAAUCCACCAACCUAGAAAUUCCGCCGCUCCGACGGAACCGCCGCCACGAGCUCCUCCACCGCCCCACAGGGGCGGCUCUCAGUGAAGGCCCGUUCCAACUAUUGACGGUUCAGGUCGAGAUCGGGCAUCUUACUGCUUCCUUUCAUCUUCUUCUCCUUUUCCUUUUCCUUUUCCUUUCCCUUUCCCUACCGGAUCUUAGGAUUUUCUGGAAAAGUUGACAGAGAAACUCUGGUUCAGGUUCGGAGACAGAGUGGUUCAGGGAAGAGAAAUUGUUGUUCUUCUUCGUGGAAGGUAACUGUGUGUUGUUCUUCGUGGAAAUGCGUUGCUGCUUCCAUGGCUGAGCUUCGAAAAACUGGGUGAGUGAGUCGAGAGUUUGGGUUUAUGCAGCAACAACGAUUAAAUCUGGUACCAUUUUCGAAAAAAAACAGCUUGAAUCUUUUCACCUUUCCUCUGCAGAUCUGAUUUUUGGUUCUCAAUUUCUUCUUCCCUUUGAAGGCUUUUGUUCAUGAUGAUGGAGAUGAAGAUAAUAUGAAGAUUGAUGAAGAAGAGGGUUGAGGUAUGGGGUUACUGGGUUGAGAUGAUGAAGAUGAAGAUACUGAUAAGAAGAAGAUAGAUGAUUUUUUUUUUAAUUAAUCAUGAAGGAGGUUUCUUUUGAAACUAUUAAGAAGGAGGUUAAUUAGUGAGGAUUAAAGGUUAAUAAGUGAGAGUUAAUUGUGUUAAAAUUUUAUUUUUUUAAAUGAAAAAGAAAAAAAAAUGUUAAUUUCUUUUUUUAAAAAAAAAUUAAAAUUAACACCUGGCCUCAUUAAUCCCAUGUGGCAAUGCCACAUGGGCCACCGGAGCUCCGGCGUUGACCAAAAGCUCCGGAGGGACUAAAACCAAACCUUUUGACAAAGGUUAGGGACUAAAACCCACCUUUACUCCGGCGAGGGACCAAUACCAAGCAUUUGGUAAAGGUUAGGGACGAAAAACUUAUUUAAGCAUUUUAUGAGGAUUUGCUACUCAUGACAGUUACAAAGAAUGAUAGACUAAUGAGGACAAUCCACAAUCUGCUCCGUUCAAAUAUACAUUGUUGCUAAAAACUUUUUAUAAGAUAGGCUAGGCAUUGAAUAUCAACAACACUAGUCCUUCUAUUUCAAUAAAAACAACCCCUAAGUGAGAAACUUUGGAAACUAACAUCAUAGUGGAUAUGGCAACAGGGAGAAAGAGGGGCAUACGACAAUUCAUGCAUUACUGGUAUGAAUUUGUCCAAUAAGUUUAGAGCAUUAUUCAGAGCCACCAAAAAGCUAAAUGUGCAUAUGCACCUGGGACUCAAAAGAAUGUUUCAGGUGUGAAACAACAUAGAUUGAUUUCUGAUUUCUUGUGCUUGGCUGAACAGAUAUGAAUGAUGUAAUAGAUGGAGAGUUGCUGGGUGGAUCAUAUCAUCCAUAUGCUUAGGGGCGUUUUCCUCACAUAUGCAGCUUCAUAUAGCUUUUCUCAAUCUGUCUGCACAUGCCCACAUUGUUUCGAAUCCUAUGCUUUCUUUUUCUUCAAUUGUUGGUUCCGAAUCUGUUUUUCCUUUUGUUCAAUUGAACAAGUUUUUAACUUUUUUCAAACUAUUUUUUUUAUUGUUUCUUACUUUCAAUUUUCGUUUUUUUUUUUUAAGUUUUUUUGUCUGUUAUUUGCUUUUUAAGCUAGAAACUAAGUGAAUUUUUAUGGUCUUCUAUUUUCUUACUUCAAGUUAUUUGAUAUUAUAUUAUAUCUCGCUAUUUUAUCUGUUUCUAAUGAUUACUAUAACACCUCUCCCAUUUUCCCUCAUUUCGCUUUGACAACAAUCAAACCCCAUUCACUAUGGGUGGAACUAGCAGAAGACCAUGGUGACGCUCAAUAUCGCUUUUGAG